rnacentral:lncRNA from 1 species
AACUGUGACCAUCAGAGAAGAACGUCGCAGUUUUCUGCACUUAAUCACUCGGCUCUAUGCAAAGCUAACAUUUAGCUGUAAGAUUUAGUAAGGCAUCAAUCCCUGCGAAUUUGUUUUCUUCUUCUUUUUGAAGAAGUUAAAAAUCAUUUUCUCAGGUGUACAAUUAGCAAUGUUUGGUGUUUGAAAUUGUGAAUCUUGGGUUUUAUUUUGAUUCCUCCUCACCACCCAUAUAUCAAGCGCUGAACCCUAACUCCUAGGGGAAAUCCUUCUCCUAUAGUCUUAAGUGUUUGGAUAUCUUUUUCCCACUUCUCAUGAAAGGAAUUUGUAUUUAAACUGUUUGUGCUGUGAUUUUUGUAGACCACAGCAUCUGGAGGCGGACUAGGCUUAUGUAUCAUUCUUGAUAAAAAGAGGCUUCAAUGGUGGCACUAGGGCAGGAGCUUUAGCCAACAAAGCACAUCAACAGCAAGAGAUCACUGGUCAAUGUAACAAAAAUCUAGAACGUCAUUCAAAGGUUGGGACAGUUCUCAUUGGGAGCAC